GCGUACCAAUUCAACUACAUGUAAUUGAUAACACAGUUUUAUCAACCUUGUACUGAAUUUGAGAUACUAUCUGUAACUAAUUUUAGAUCAAAUAAAUGUUUAUGUGUUAUUGUCACACCACGUCGUAGACUUCCCGGUUGAAAAAUCGUAUGGACUUACUACGUAGCAGACUAUAUAGUUCCAUUUUUCAGCCUUGAACUAUAUAAACGUGAUAAAACCCAUAACGUUUAAAUAUAAUGUGUAAACGAAUGAUUAAAUCUUGUGUUUCAGAGCCACGAUUUUAGUCUUAUAUCUAGGUCGGGUAAAAUUAUAGUAAUGUACAAAACAAAACAACUAUAAAUACAUUUUGUUUUUAUUAAACGCAAUAUUCCAUUUUUAUCUCUUUUCUCAUUUAAUAAUGUGUAUAUAUAAAGCUUCAAUAUUUAUCAGGAUUUUGUGACUAUGUAUGUUCGGGUGUCUUUAACGCCUGUGUUUGAAACCAAAAGAGGAAUCGACUGAAAAUUACUUAGUUUAAUCAACGGCAUGAAGAGUACAGCAAGAGGUUAUGAAAGAUCCAACAAAUGAAACCCACAAACAACAGGAUGUCCUUAAACUAGUAGCUUCAAGACUCCGCUUCCUUGGCGACGAUCUGCAAAAGAGCUACGAAAAAAAGCGAGAAUCGCAAAAACAGCACGGGAAAAAGCGAGAAUCGCAAAACCAGCACCGUAAAAGGCGAGAAUCGUUAAGUAAAAGGAGAAUGAUCCUUCAGUUGUUAUGCAGACAUCUUCUUUCAGCUAAUGAUGAAUUCACACUGAGAUAUAUUUCAUAAACGAGAAAGAUGACCGAUAAUCAACUGCACCACUGUCAACCUCACUUCCAGAGGAGUCAUUUGAAAAAGAUGGCACUGGCACACAGUGUUUCAUUCAGUUCCAUAAAGGAGAAGUGAUCACAAGUUGUUUUUGGAAUGAAGAAUAUUUGCCAUAUUUGUGAAUCAGGGGGUUAAAUAAUGCGAUUUGAUUAUAUCAAAGUACUUGAAUUCUGAAAUUUGAAAAUAUUGAAUAUGUUUGAAACGUUAAAAGCACUGACCUCCAGGGUUUGGGGUUUGGCUAACAAUCUUUAAAAUUGAAAUUUAGUCAUAUCAUGAACAUUAGAACAGGAGUUUUUGUUUCUAAACUGUCUUAAAAUGCCAAAUCAGGAGAAAAGAAAACACGUCCGAGUCGGGAAACGAACCCGCGCCGCCGCAGCAAUAAAAUGUUUAUUGCGUUCUUGUCCAAUACACCACGGAAGAAUUAAAUGUUUAAAUGUAAAGCUUUAUAAUAAGCUAGGCAGUUUACCUCCGGUACCGCGUUACAAACGCGUUUCAAUUUUGGAUGGAAAAAGAGUAAAAACAACUAAUUCGCAUGUGUUUUCAUAACAUGUUAUAUGUCAGUUACUAAGUUUUAAAGCCUUCUUAAGAAAUAUAGUAAUGAUUUUCUAAUAUCUAGAAACAUCUAUUUUUUGUUGCCCGUGCGAUCUGGCGGUCAGUGCCUUUUUAAAAUCAUAGGUAAUAACAAUGCGCACAAUACUUACAAUGUAAAAUAAUGAUAUGUGAUCAGACACAAUUUAUAAAGUGACAAUAUAUUGUGAGUGUUUGGUUUGAAGAAUGUUAAAUAAACAGAUGAAGAAAAUUGACAUAUUAAUCACACAAUUGAAUCGGAGCUAUAAAUUGAAUAUAAUAAUCAAAUAUACUCAAAUAUAUUUUUUCUUUAGAAAAUGGUCUUGAUGUGCAACUGUUUCAAAAACUUUAAAAUGAUUUUAUGAAUACAAAUAUAAAACUAGAAAUAUGUCGAACACACGACCUUUGUUGUUGUAAAAGUAUAAAUGAUACUGGUUCAUUUUUGCUAAAUGAACAUUGAAAGAAUGUUUUUACGUAAAUGUAAAAUGACAAUAAAUGAAUGAAUCAUCAUUUUGUUUGAAAUACAUGUAUUAACAUUUACAAACGACAACGUAAUAGUUAGAUAUUAGAUCUAUUUUUCCAUGUACUGUAUUUAUUCGAUAAAAAUCUCUGUGUCAUUUUCUGUUUGUUAUAUGAAGCAAAUUGUUAAGCUAAACUUCUAUGUAACCUUGAACUGAACAAUUAUUAUGUGGGUGUAUUCUGCGUAAACACUGAAACGUUUAUUCUGAAGGAGCAAUACCUGUGUUAUUAUUUAAACGUUUAAAGGUUAACUAGUAUAUUCUUUUUUUUCAUACAGACGACAAUAAUACCUUAAAUUUUGUUUGUUGUUAUAACUCUUUUGAUAAAAAUAACAAAUUUUUGUAUAUGAAAGUAUAAGAAAAAUUAACGUAUUCAUCUCCUUUUUUAUGCAAAUUGUUCUGUUUAUUUUUUCAAUAAUAUCAUAUACAAAAUAUUUGUAAAUAUUUUCAUAUUCAUUUUGAUCGAAAAGGGAGAGAUAGUAUUCUAAAACGAACAAUAACGAUAACGCCCGAUAUUGGUUGAUGUUAUUGAGUGCCAGGUCAGUACUUACGAACAAUAUAUGUAUUAUCACAUUCGCACGCACAGGGUCCUUUGGUCAGUAUUGGCAAGCUACUGCUACUUUCUAAACAUACAGCUGUGCACUACAUUCAUAUUAUUUCAUGUUAACAGUGCUAGCUGUUUGUAAAGCACGUAUGCCCACAUGAAUGUCUGCCCCGUUUUCAGUCCCGAAAUCCCUAUGACCUUACCCUUUGGCCUACUGACCUUACAAUUAGGGUCAUCAGCUGACCACAAGUAAUCACCGUAUGAAGUAUGUAAACUGUAAGCCAAGGUUUGUUGAGUUAUUGAGCAGAAAUCGUUUCUAGUCUCAAGGUCACUGCGACUUUGACCUUAGGCCUCCGGACCUAGAAAACAAUGGCGGUCACCUAAUAAUUCUACUGAUCACAGACACUCGUUCUUUCAACUUUGUGCAGUAAUUCGGUUUUGGUGCAUGAGGUCAAAUCCUGGAAUUUCACUUAUCCACCGUUAAAUGCUACAAGAUUCUUUCACUGGAUGAAGGUGCAAAUGGGAAUAUCUGGCCUCGAGGGUAACUGUUUCAGUGGUAACGAGGUCCUGCCGGGUAUUCCCAUCUGUACCUACAGCCAGUGAUAGAUUCUUUUUCUUGCAUACUUAAUUCAACGUCCAUAAACAGAAAAGGCGUCAUAACGUUUCAAAGACAAAUAACAAUGUUUAGUUCCAGUUUUGUUUUAUGAGUUGCAGCGUAACGUUAUGACUUUUUGAUAACAUAACGUUUAUUGAAUCGAGAAGUCAAGGUAUUUGACUUUUAUUCCGUUUUAUGAAACAAAAUAUAAAUUACUAAAUAAAUCUUCUACAUA